CCUACGGGAGGCUGCAGUGGGGGAUAUUGCACAAUGGGGGAAACCCUGAUGCAGCGACGCCGCGUGUGGGAAGACGGUCCUCUGGAUUGUAAACCACUGUCCCCAGGGAGGAAGAUGACGCUACCUGGGGAGGAAGCUCCGGCUAAAUACGUGACAGCAGCCGCGGUAAUACGUAGGGAGCAAGCGUUGUCCGGAAUUACUGGGGGUAAAGGGAGCGUAGGCGGGAUGGCGAGUUGAGUGUAAAAUCUACCGGCUAAACUGGUAGUCGCACUCAAAACUGCUAUUCUUGAGUGAAGUAGAGGCAGGCGGAAUUCCUAGUGUAGCGGUGAAAUGCGUAGAUAUUAGGAGGAACACCAGUGGCGAAGGCGGCCUGCUGGGCUUUUACUGACGCUGAGGCUCGAAAGUGUGGGGAGCAAACAGGAUUAGAUACCCGUGUAGUC
rnacentral:rRNA from 1 species